rnacentral:rRNA from 1 species
AAACUUAAGGAAUUGACGGGGCCCGCACAAGCGGUGGAGUAUGUGGUUUAAUUCGAAGCAACGCGAAGAACCUUACCAGGUCUUGACAUCCCCUGACAACCCGAGAGAUCGGGCGUUCCCCUUCGGGGGACAGGGUGACAGGUGGUGCAUGGUUGUCGUCAGCUCGUGUCGUGAGAUGUUGGGUUAAGUCCCGCAACGAGCGCAACCCCUGUGGUUAGUUGCCAGCAAGUAGCGUUGGGCACUCUAGCCAGACUGCCGGUGAUAAAUCGGAGGAAGGUGGGGACGACGUCAAAUCAUCAUGCCCUUUAUGUCCUGGGCUACACACGUACUACAAUGGCCGUUACAACGGGAAGCGAAGGAGCAAUCCGGAGCAAAUCCCUUAAAGGCGGUCCCAGUUCAGAUUGUGGGCUGAAACUCGCCCACAUGAAGGCGGAAUUGCUAGUAAUUGCAGAUCAGCAUGCUGCAGUGAAUACGUUCCCGGGCCUU